ACCCAGCUGGCUCAGUUGGAGGAGCCACGUGACUCUUACUCUCUGGGGCGUGAGUUCAAGCCCCACGUUGGGUA
rnacentral:tRNA from 1 species